rnacentral:rRNA from 1 species
AUUGAACGCUGGCGGCAUGCUUUACACAUGCAAGUCGGACGGCAGCACAGAGAAGCUUGCUUCUUGGGUGGCGAGUGGCGAACGGGUGAGUAAUAUAUCGGAACGUACCGAGUAAUGGGGGAUAACUAAUCGAAAGAUUAGCUAAUACCGCAUAUUCUCUGAGGAGGAAAGCAGGGGACCUUCGGGCCUUGCGUUAUUCGAGCGGCCGAUAUCUGAUUAGCUAGUUGGUGGGGUAAAGGCCUACCAAGGCGACGAUCAGUAGCGGGUCUGAGAGGAUGAUCCGCCACACUGGGACUGAGACACGGCCCAGACUCCUACGGGAGGCAGCAGUGGGGAAUUUUGGACAAUGGGCGCAAGCCUGAUCCAGCCAUGCCGCGUGUCUGAAGAAGGCCUUCGGGUUGUAAAGGACUUUUGUCAGGGAAGAAAAGGCUGUUGCUAAUAUCAAGAGCUGAUGACGGUACCUGAAGAAUAAGCACCGGCUAACUACGUG